AUCGAACGCUGGCGGCGGGCCUAACACAUGCAAGUCGAACGAGUGGCGGACGGGUGAGUAAUGCCUGGGAAACUGCCUGCUGGAGGGGGAUCACUACUGGAAACGGUCGCUAAUACCGCCUACCAUCCGAUGUGCCCAGCUGGGAUUAGCGAGUUGGUGGGGUAACGGCUCACCAAGGCGACGAUCCCUAGCUGGUCCGAGGGGAGUACCGGCCACACUGGAACGUAGACACGGUCCAGACUCCUACGGGAGGCAGCAGUGGGGAAUAUUGCACAAGGGGCGCAAGCCUGAUGCAGCAAGGCCGCGUGGAUGAAGAAGGCUUUCGGGUUGUAAAGUACUUGCAGCGGGGAGGCGGUACCCGCAGAAGAAGCACCGGCUAACUCCGUGCCAGCAGCCGCGGUAAUAC
rnacentral:rRNA from 1 species